GACGAACGCUGGCGGCGUGCCUAAUACAUGCAAGUUGAGCGCUGAAGGUUGGUACUUGUACCGACUGGAUGAGCAGCGAACGGGUGAGUAACGCGUGGGGAAUCUGCCUUUGAGCGGGGGACAACAUUUGGAAACGAAUGCUAAUACCGCAUAAAAACUUUAAACACAAGUUUUAAGUUUGAAAGAUGCAAUUGCAUCACUCAAAGAUGAUCCCGCGUUGUAUUAGCUGGUUGGUGAGGUAAAGGCUCACCAAGGCGAUGAUACAUAGCCGACCUGAGAGGGUGAUCGGCCACAUUGGGACUGAGACACGGCCCAAACUCCUACGGGAGGCAGCAGUAGGGAAUCUUCGGCAAUGGACGAAAGUCUGACCGAGCAACGCCGCGUGAGUGAAGAAGGUUUUCGGAUCGUAAAACUCUGUUGGUAGAGAAGAACGUUGGUGAGAGUGGAAAGCUCAUCAAGUGACGGUAACUACCCAGAAAGGGACGGCUAACUACGU
rnacentral:rRNA from 1 species